rnacentral:rRNA from 1 species
AUGGACUUCUUUUCAGGAUUCAAACUUGGUUCUGAAAAGCACACCACAGAGGUCACCGUGAAGAAGUCUGGAAGCCUGCUUAUAAAUUCUGGGAUACAAGGAUACUCCCUGCUAAAGACAACUCAGUCUGGAUUUGAAGGAUUCGUGAGGGAUCGCUACACUCUUCUUCCUGAAACAAGAGAAAGAAUUGUAGCUACAGAAGUAACUGCUUGGUGGAGCAGAUGAGAGUCUGGAAUGUUCCAUCCAAAUAGUUUAAUCAGAAACUGCACUGGCAAAGGUCUAGAGGAUGUAGAGGAGCUCCAGUUUGAUCCUAAGGAUGGCAUUGCUUUUUUUCUUCUUAUGCUCCAGUUUGCAGCAGCAUCUCCGACACCCUCUCGACGAAUUGCAGGUAGAUUGUAGCUGAGGAUGCGGCAAUGACCACCAAGGUAUGCCCUUCUCUCCUUGCCCUUCAUGCUGGCUUCAACAAGGCCGAAAGAUCUUCAGUCUUUUACAAGGUCAACCCCGCCUUCCUUGCAAUCAAUCUGCUGGCGACAGUAGAAAUUAACAGUCCUUUGUAUGUGUUUCUACAUGGUGGAUAUACGUGCAGGACCGGAGUGCAUGCUCUGUGGCAGAAGCAUCAGGGUGCUCCACGCUCAACAUCUUCUCAGCAUAGCUGCUCGAUCAGUAGUUUUGAUUGAUCUAUUUGAUAAUUUAAGCCAUCCAGUUGAUGUUCUUGGUUCGCUCAUGCUCUUUUCUUAUGUUGUUGUUUAAUCACUAUUGGCUUGGAUAUUCUCUAUAGCAUCUCAACAAUUCACUGCAAUUGGCCAGGUUAUUCUGUAUAUUUGAUAUUGUACGAGAGUAGCAGUCGGACUCAAAAAAUCACAACAUUCUGCAGGUCCAAAUUUACAUUGAUCGUUUAGUGGUUCAUCGAAAUUGUUCUGCCUAUGACUUUGAAAUUGGCCAGUAAAAGCCAACAUCCACCCUCUUCACAGCCGCAGUCAGGGAUUCGUUCAUUUUAGUGUGAGUAAGGAUGGGAACAUUGAUCUGUAUAUGGUAAUAUUUUAUGCUGAUUUCAUUUCUCAUUUCAUUGAUCAUCCGUGUUACUCCUUUGACAAAUGAUAUUUAUAGUACUUCUGGAUGACAAAGACUUUGAGUUCUGUGUGAAGCUCCAAAAGGAAUACCUAUAAGACUCCUUCAUCAACUUAGUAAGAUUGCAUAUGCCCUUUGCGUUGCACAGGUCCAACGCCUCGCUCCUCUACUCAUAGUGAAAAAAAAACUUAGGUACUCUGAAAUUUAUCUUUUCUUCCCCUCACGCUUUGUUAGGUUAGAUCAAUAGUUUUAUCUUAUUGGACCUGUGCAUUUUGAGAGUCCGAAAUGGGAACAUUAAAUUUACUUGGACCCUAUCUUAUUCUCAUAUCUGUAACUAGCUUUGCUUGUCAUUUAGAAGGGACGACCUAAGGAGUAGAGAGAUUCGAGACAAUCAAAAUCCUGCAUAUGUAUGUUUACAGGCGUUUGAUAAUCCUACGCCAGGGCCACAUAUAUAGGGACAUUCAAAAUUCUACACCAGGUUCACGUAUAUAGGGACAUAUUCAGCUGAGGUUCACGUAUAUACAAACCUGAAACUGUAUGCUUUUACACCAGGUUCACGUAUAUAGGGACAUAUUCAGCUGAGGUUCACGUAUAUACAAACCUGAAACUGUAUGCUUCAAACCGGAUGUGGCAGUAAUCCACUCAUCAUGCAAAACAAAACAAAAAUCUGUUACCUAGCAUGUAUUUGUUUGUACAGAUGAUGCCAUGUACUACAUUUUGUUUGCAAAAUCCAGCACCUAGCAUGUAUUUGUUAUAAUCGAGCACCGCGACGAAUCUGUUAUUUACCUUAGGAGGGUAAGAAAAAACACAAUCAAUGAUAUUAUACAUAAUUCUAGACAUUGUUUUAGAGUAUGUUCUGAAGUAUAUUUUUCUUCCAGUAAAUGUUGGAAAUGUCUAUGUACUUUUUUCUCCCAAUAUGUUAUGGUCAUCUUCCUGCUAUGCAUAUAAAUUUCAUGGCCAGCUUACUAGCUGGUGGUUGGCGAUCCUUUCUAUCUUCUUCCUCGCCGGCUCGAUAAAUCUCUCGGUUUCCUUCUCCUACCACUCGUCCUCCCUUGUGCUCUGUAACUCGGCCAUUGAUGUGGCUGUUAGUAAUAAGAUGGUAAUAUUUGUUUUAUAGAAAUACUUGUUUUUUUGCGGGUGUUUAGAAAUACUUGUUAGUUGCACAGGUGUACCCUGCAAGGAAUAAUUUUACAAUGGAAAUGCAUAUCUGUUGAAUUGAUGACUAAACAAGUUUGCGGGCACAUAUCUGAAAAUACAAGCAAAUACAGACAUAGAUUUAAGGGUUCUCAUUCAUUUAAAUCUCAAUGUUGAGAGAAGCCGAUCUCUGGAUAUGAGUAUUUUCUUCCCUGUUUGCGUGAUUGUUUAAUUGAAUGGAUAACUGUGUCUCCUGAAUAUUGUCCCAUAUAAUUGUUUUAAAUCUACCGAAUUAGUUCUCUAAAUCAGUUGAUAUUUUGCAAAGCUUCAAGCUUUAGUUUUUGCACUUCAUGACACCAAUUGUUUGUGCAGAUUCAAGAUUUAUUUCUGUACUGGAUGAUAGCAGUGAUUAGUGGAUUACUGUCACACGCUGCUGUUGUCAUCCAUAUCUCCUCAAGCGCCUUAGGUUUGUGAUGCGUAAGUUGUUGUACAUAUGUAAAUUGUUCUGUUCUUCUUUCGCCAAAACAUUAAUAAGCCCGCGAUACACUUUGCUUCUUUUUUAUCUAAUGUCUAUUUGUAGACUAAGUGUUUUAUUUAUGAUAGUGGAUUUCUGGCGUACAUGUGAAUAUCUCAUGUAUAUACAAUCAGUACACUCACCUGAACGAGAAUGGUGGCAAGCAGAGCGGGGUUGCGUCUUGUCCUUCUAGCGUCGAAGGUCCGGUGCACCCAUGGGUGUGCCUUUGCUAGUUUCUGACUGUCGCAAAGAAGUCAGAGCUGUGGGCGGCGAGGCCACUGCGGCAACGAUGACUAUGAGGACAGUUUUCAGCAAGCGGUGCUCCCCGAAUGUUGCAUUGAACUACGUCUUUGCGUGGCUUGCAACCUUCUCCUAUGAAGCCCGUAUGCAAAAUCGAAACUGUCAUGUCCUCGGUGUUGUGCUCGACUAUUCAUUGUUGCUUUGUGGCUCCGUGCUUCCUCUCCACAGUUAUAUCAUUUUUUGUGAUGUAAUCUUAUUAGUGGUUGGGUCAUCCAUGCGAGCCCCUUCUGAAGUUUGUAGUCUAGGUUAGAUACAUCCGUAUGUAGACAAAUUGAAGACAAAUAAUAUGGAAAGGAGGGAGUAUAUUAUUUGACUCAAGCACUCACAACCAACGCACUACACUCAUGCACGUGAAAUACAAUCGUAUUUUGAUCAAUAUCCCUGUGUAAGUUUGUUGUUCGGAGGCAAUCACGUAUGAAUUGAAGAGAGGUGAAUACUUGA